rnacentral:misc_RNA from 1 species
UCACCCCUCAAGCCCCGUGCUUGGUGUUGGACGGCCGGUCGAGCCCCCCUCGACCCCUCCGAAAGACAAUGACGGCGGCCUGUGGUUCCCCCGGUACACUGAGCUUUUCACGGAGCACGUAUCGGACGAGGGCGCCCGGGACCCCGGUCCUUCUCCUUUCACUAGGAAACUUCUAAUGG